CUCAACCGGGGAAGUGCCUGAGAAACCACUGAGCUGGAGUGCUGGAGAGGGAAGUGGAAUUCCCAGUGUAGCGGUGAAAUGCGUAGAUAUUGGGAGGAACACCGGAGGCGAAGGCGGCUUCCUGGACAGACACUGACGCUGAGGCGCGAAAGCCAGGGGAGCAAACGGGAUUAGAUACCCCGGUAGUCCUGGCUGUAAACGAUGAACACUUGGUGUGGGGGGUAGACCUGUCCCUCCGUGCCGGAGAGAACUCAUUAAGUGUUCCGCCUGGGGAGUACGGCCGCAGGGCUGAAACUCAAAGGAAUUGACGGGGGCCCGCACAAGCGGUGGAGCAUGUGGUUUAAUUCGACGCAACGCGAAGAACCUUACCGGGGUUUGAACUCAGGCGGCGAUCUGUAGAGAUAUGGAGUUUCCUUCGGGAACCG
rnacentral:rRNA from 1 species